rnacentral:lncRNA from 10 species
AGAUGUCACCUGAAUUGUCUCAGUGAUGAGACUGUCAUCUGCAGAACUGUUGACUCCCAUGCUCAUGAGAGGCUCAGAGUGAAUCCAGAAACUCAUGGUUCUGGCUGAUCUUUAUUAUUAUUUUUUAAAUUUCCAAGUGUGUGACUCAUAGUAGACACUCAUUCGGGUGGCUCGGAUAUUUUCACCUACAGGAGAAUAUAUGGAAAAGAAAACAACACCCCACCUUCAACACCCUCCAGCUGCACAAUGUGUGAGGACAAAAUUGUCCUCACACCACAUGACAAAAUAACCAAGCUUCCCUCACCACUCACUGAGAGGCUUCCUGUCGAGGAAUGUAUGGAUGAUCACUAAUAACUGCUGGCAGACGCUGUGUGAAGAGAGACAGUCGCCGGCCUGACAUAAGAUUUAUUAGAGAAAGUUGGCACAAAUAUAUUUGUAGGAAGCAAAAUAUGUUUGUAGAGAUUAUUCCAGAUUUACAGUGAUUAAUAACGGAUUGGAAGCAGUCGACGUCAAAGAGCCGCCUCCUGGCAAUGUCUGCCCCAGGUUGAGUCGGAAUAGAACAUGAACUUCAGCGGCGCCAGGAACCUUUUGCUAAAAGAAUGAAGUUUUCUGAAUAGAAUGAAAUGAAUGCCAAGAGCCCUCUGUAGGCUCAAAAAACCUGCCACACUACUUAAUCUGCUUUAAGCACUGACUGGCUAAUGGAGUUUCGAGCCAGGCAGCAUUCGAAGGCUUAGCACCUGCAGGGGCUCCCUGAGAGAACAGAGGAGACGCCACAGCAGAGGAGAUUUGUCUUUGCCCUGUGCAUGGGAGGAGGCUGCGGGGAAAGGGAGAAAGUCAGGAGAAGCUGCUCUUACGUCUUUUUUCAUCCCCUUUGUCCAGAGUGCGUUUUUUAGGGAUGUGCACUUGAGACCCUAACCCGCAGCACGUUAUCUCAAUUGGAAGGUCAGUGUCCACGUCAACCAGUAAUAAAGGAUGGAUGAUACACACAAGUCCCAGCCGAGAUGGGGAUCUGGUUUCUUAUCCACAGAGCUCUGCGACACUGCCUUGAGCUGGCAGAGACCGCGUGGAAGGCUGUUUCCCAUCUCCCUGCAGAUUCCCAGCACCGGCAGCAAAUGGGUGGCAGUUCCACACAGCAGUAUGAAGAAGAGAUCCCCCCCGCCCCAAAAGCCAUUUCCUCUCCUCAUAACUGCACACGCAGCUAGCUGUCUCCGAGAAGGAGGAUACAGGGAUCGCUUGCUUCCGGGCAGCUCGCCUCCCUGAUACUAUCCAUCUUCCUCUGCAAGCUGGAGUUGGCUGGAAACAAGUCUGAUUAAUAAAACUUGCAAGUAGACCCCAAGGUUGACACUAACAGGCUCCCAAUAAACAGCAUUUAGAUUGAAUUGAUCACCCUGGAAGGUGAGAGGGCCUUGUUGAGAAACAGCAGCCAUGCCCUUCUGCCCUGCUGAUGACAAAUGGCUUGCAAUCUGUCAACCACGAUUAUGAGCUUUGGCUGGAAGGCACGAGGGCGCUAAUGAAGAACCCCACGCCUGCUGCUCCCGUGGGGCAGGUGGGCUCGGGUGGGAGCUCACAUCCAGCUCGUGAGCAGGGCUGGUGGGAUUCCAUCCUCCCCAGUUUGUUGCCAUGGAGAAGGAGUUGAAUGGCUUUAAUACAGCUGUGUGGAUGUCUCCCCUGAGAUGCGCCAUGACAAGUUGGACUGGAAGUAGCAAAUGAGCAGCUAUAAUCUUCAAACUGUAUGAAUAAGUGAUUGAUUGGGCACGGGGGCUGUAAACAGCACUCUGUGUUCUGGCAGCAUGGGGCCCAGCAAAAUGAGAUCAUCAGUCUGGGAGAGACACGCACAGAGCAGCCGUGCUCCCGGUAGCCUUCCACAGGGCUGUGGCCUGGGCUUGGGAAUCUGCCCAGAACUCAUGACCACUUCUUGCAGGCCCUGCAGAUGUUGGGCCACUCUAGGUCCCAGCUGGCUCCAAACCCGUUUCUGGUUAAUCCUGCCAUGCGUAGCUAUUAAUGCUUUACAAAUAAAGGCUUCUGUCUGUUUGCCCCUGCCAGCUCCCCAGCCAAUUGCUUGGCCCCAGGGCGGAGAGUGGCUGAGUGUCCAAGGGAGGUGAGAAUCCACUAAUAUGAAUCCCUGGGGCCUCCUGCCAGGGCUGCUUCUUAGGCGGCUCCUCCCUGCUGCCUGGGGAUUCCCCAUCCCUUGCCAGAUAAGACUGGAUCAGAGCAGUCCAUAUGCAGGCCAGAGAGUGACCAGUGAGGAAAGGUCAGCUGGGCCAAGCUGCAUCUUCUCUGUAGAUUUUGGAAUUGGGGCACUCUCAGAAUGGUCAGUGAAUAAUGGAGUUGAAUGACCAAGACAUUGGGGACUGAGCCAGCAGGAAGCCAGUGACCAUGGAGAACAAAGAGAGACAGAGACAGAGAGACCCAGAGAAAGGGAUAAGCUCAUCAGCUUCUCCAACUCCAGAGUCUACCCUCACCCCCUUCAGCUUUGAUCUCCUGCCAGUCACAUGGUAGGAUGACACAUUCCCAUGCCCCUUGCAGUUGAGUGGUGCUGUGUUACUGGCCUGGCCAAUGGGCAGUGUCACCACUACGCAAAGCUCUUCAUUACUGCUGGGAGGCCCUCUGGCUGUCUGUUCCCUUGACCACUGUAGACAAUGAAGCCUCCAUCAGACUGCAUUCCUGGUAGGGACCACAGGAUCGGGGUCCCCACACACAGGUGAACGACAUGAGUCAGCCAGACUCACAACAUUUUCCACGUGAGGAGACAUAGACCUUUGUUGUGCAGAGUCCCUGGGUUGGAGCUCUUUGUAACUGCACCACGACCCAGGCUGUCUAAGGCUGAUCGGUACAUUUGCAAUAAAUUCCCU